rnacentral:rRNA from 1 species
UACGUAGGGGGCAAGCGUUGUCCGGAAUCAUUGGGCGUAAAGAGCGUGUAGGCGGUCCGGUAAGUCGGCUGUGAAAGUCCAGGGCUCAACCCUGGGAUGCCGGUCGAUACUGCCGGACUAGAGUUCGGAAGAGGCGAGUGGAAUUCCCGGUGUAGCGGUGAAAUGCGUAGAUAUCUGGAGGAACACCGGUGGCGAAGGCGGCAUCCUGGACCAAUUCUGACACUGAGGAGCGAAAGCCAGGGGAGCAAACGGG